UCUAGAUUAGGUUCAAACCAUUUCACAUUUUAGGUAGCGUGUUAAUAGACCGCCGAAAUGAAGUCGCGCCGUUAUGACUAUGGCGUUUAAUUAUUUAGACCACUUAACUAUGCCGGCUUCGAGUAAAUUCACUUGACUGUUCGUGGAGUACUUAAUGUUAUAUAGUUUUAGGGGGUGUGAGGGCUCGUACCCAGCCGGGCGCUGAAGUGCGAGUGAUAGCGAAUACCGAAGCGCACGUCUACAUGCUUCGCAUGUACAAUAGGCGGCUAUUGAUACCAAAUAGCUUAUACGUGUUAAAAACUGACCGGCGGAGACGAAUAUCACGCGAAGGGUCAACAAUUCUGGGGUAUGAAAUUUCUCAAUCGGAGCUUGAAUCGUACCGGUUGCUUGAAAAAAUACCUACGAAGGAAGUUGAAUUUACGAAAGAGUCAGCCGAAUCCUGUUCUUUGCCGAUGAAAAUGAAGAAAUUAGAAAUAUGUCAACGAUUGAGAGAGAGAAAGACAUACAACAGCAUCAUUGAUUGGUUUGUGUAUAAGAAUUCAGAUUGUUGCUGUGAAAUGUUACAUCACAAAGAAGCAUUGCCUCCAAAAUCCUGAGGACCACCUUUUGACUGAGCAUGACCGUCACCAGUAGCCAACACAUUGAUUCGUCUCCAUGAACAGUACAACAAUGGCCACAAAGGUGCAAUCCACAGCUAGCAGAAGGCAUUUUCUCAGAUGCUGUCAGUACGUGCUUGGCCAAAAUGGCAUGCAAUCAACAAGGACAUUGUUGGAUGACAUGUGGAAAGCAUGCACGAUGACAGAAAACUACAACUCGGUAGAAGGAUGGAAAAUGGCCUUAUGUCAACAAAAGAAGGAGACCAGUUCUGGAAGGAAAGUGACUGUGAGAAAGCUAGCCAACAUUGGCUGGGUGAAAUUCAUCUGGAUAAUUGACAUAUCAUUUUCUCAGAAAUAGAGGUGGCCAUGGGACUAACUGCAGCACAAAGACAAGUGUAUGGAUGUGUGCUGCAAUCUCCUGCAACACCAUAAGCAGAAUCUGGC